CCGUGAGAUCGUGACUUGAGCCGAAGUGGGAUGCUUAACAGGUUAAAUCACCCAGGUAACCCGCUAAUACCUACAAUUUAAAUAUUUCCUGUGGAUUAAGCCCCACUAAAUUGUGUCUCAUCUGUUCAAAAUCCAUGUAGAUGGGUUCCUAUUUUAUAUUUAAAUUCUGAUUUUGCAGUUUGACUAGAACUUCUAGAAAAGGUUGGACAGAUUUGAGGGGACAGUGGAGGUACUAAGGUUGUAGGUGAUAAUGAUUGUGGUGAGGGGUGGGGCACAGUUUCCUGUCACUGACUCAUCAGUGCCUGGUUCUCUCUGGUAUUUCUAGUAUUGGACAGAGUUGACUUUGGAUUUUUAAGGGUGUAUGGCUUUGUUGACAGGGAUAUUGGUUAUUCAUUUGAGUUCUUCUAUUGAUUAGUGUUGAUAUUUUAAUUUCUUACAAGUGUUUCUUAUCUGCUUGCAGAUAAGAAGGCAUCUCUACUUUUGAAAUUUGUUUCUUUUCUCUCUGUUCUUCCUGUCCUGCCUCCCUAGCUCCCAAUUUGGAUUAAAACUUAAACAGCCUAGGCCUGGAAGACAGAAGACAUUUACACAGUUGCAGAUUUAUUAUCUUUGGAUUUUUAAAAAUUAGCUUUUUAAAGGUUCCCUUUACAUUUUUUAAGUUUCCAAGUAGUGCCCAUAUCUCUGCAGACUGAAGGAGGGGAAGGCAAAGGAGUUACACUCAUCAAAACAUUUUCUGAACAAAUCUGUCUUCUGUUUCCUUCCAUGACCUGAUUUAAUGAAGAUAUUUUCACCUCAGAGGACCAUCUCAGGAGUACCAUAUAGUGUCAUUAUUAGGUGAAUGGGUGUGGGUUUUGCCCUUGCUUAAAUGGGAGUGUUACAUCAUGGCAUAUUUUCAAGGAGUCAUAGGGAAUUGACCCAUUUUAUCUAACAGUUAACACACUGAUGGGCAUUGAUAGCUAGAAGGAACAUCAUUUAGAUCCAGCCACUUCCCCGCCCCAGAGGAGGAAAUUGAAGCCCAGAGAGAUUAAGUAAUUUUAUUCAACAAACAUUAAUUGAGCAUGCACCAUAUGUUAGACCCAGUACUAGGUGCUGGGGGCUACAGCGAUGAGUAAGUAAGUGUAAGUCCCUCUUGGAGAUAAAUACAUAGUGCUUAGAUCAUACAGUUUGUAAUUAGCAGGUCAGGAAGUAGAAUAUUUAUGAAUCCUUCAUAUUCAAUCAAGUCUUUCUAUAUUAAUAUGAUAAAAAAAUAAUGUCAUCCUUCUGUUCAUUCUUCUACUUUCAUUAAAUCCUUUAAUAAAGAUUUUCAUUUAUUUAUUUUUAGAACAAAGUUCAGCAUUCUCUCUUUGACAUCAAUACUGCUUAGCUCCCACUCUUUCUUGAAAGAUUAGCGUACAGUAACCAUCUACAUUUAUUCAAGCCCCUAAAAUCGGACCAAAAGUACUCCAGCUGAAGUCAUUGCCGUGUCUAGUUUUUAUCUUGACGCAUGUAUUGUCCUAUCUUCUUAAAACUUUCCAUUGGGUUAUUGAUGCCCUGAUUGUCCUACCUCUUUUCCUUUUUAAUUUCCCUUAGAGUUUCAUCUGCCCACUUCUUAUUCCCCAAAUGGGCCAUAUGUUUGCAGAACUUCUAGAAACUGGUCAUUCUUCAAGAGUUAGGGUUCUUGAGGAGAGGUUAUUCUAGCUGUCUGACCUUUUUAAGAUUUUAGGUACUUCCAUCUCUUUUCAUACCACCUGUUUCCCAAUCCUGUAAUGUUAUGCUUUGCAUACCAAGUUUUCUUUGAUUUUUUUCUCAAGAACUGGGACCAUUUUCUCCAGAGACUGGCACGUGAUAAUGAUUUUUAAAAACGUAGUUUAUUGCAGAAUGAUUUCUCCCUGGCUCAGGCCACCCCUCCCUUCCUCCAGCAGUCCGUCCCUCUGUUUCUCUUUUCAGCUCUCUGCUGGGCUCUAUGAGCUGUGUUGCUGCCAGGAAACAGCUUGUGGUGGUUCUCUGUUAAUGGUGGAUUUAUAGUUUUAUGAAUUGCCAGUAUAUUAAGUAAGAAGCUUAAACACAACCCUUAGUUACACUCAAAUCGAUUGGCAAACCUUUUUUAAAAAUUCAUAAAUUAUACGUGCAUAAACUUGAGCCUUCAUCUGUCUGAUUAAAUCUGCAUUCGUAAUUAGUGUGAGACAAACGAAAUUUUUUACAGCUAAAAGAAGGGUGUUUCCAUUUCUCACUAUGGUUGAGAAUAUCCUACAUGAUGGUAUUUUUUCCAUACGUAAUUAUAACCUAAACAUUUAUGGUACAUUUGUCCUGGGCAGCACUCCAUCCUACAAAGGACAGUUUCUGUCCUUAAGGAAAUACAGUGUACUGUAAUUUAAAAAAAAAGUAUGCAGAUUGAUUUUCCCCAUUGCCUUGUUAAUGUGGCCAUGAUAGUUCUUUUGGGCCUGUUAUCAAGCUGAUCCAUUUGCUGAGUUAGAGUAUUUUUCUCUUGCUCCUCCACUUUGUUUGGGUUGCUGACCCUUCAUCCUUUGCUCUACGCUUGUCCUUGAUUAAAAUUAGAUCAAUAAAGCUAAAUCAAGGUAAAAAGUGGAAUUUCCUCAGGAGUAUAAGGGAUCAUAUAUUACAAUUAAACUGUUCAGAAGGAAAUAUUAGAUGGUUUUUUGUUUUAUUUUUACUUACAACCUUUUAAACUCAAUGGGUUAUUCCUUGUAGUUUGAAAGUAUGGAGAGAGGUGAAAUGGAUCUUUCAGCUGGUGUUUCUGAAUUUUUUGUUUUGUUUUGUUUUCCUGUAACCUCCUAGUCUUGGGUUGUGUUCAAAUCUCAAAGAUUUAUUAGGUGAACAUUCUGUAGCUAAGUGGCAAGAUGUUCUGGCUUCUCAUUAGCGGUGACCCUGGGUAGUUUUCUCAUAUUCAGCAACAUUUGUUAGGAGCCACCCAGCAUUCUUGUCACCGAGUGGUGAGGCCGAGCUGGAGUUCUGGGUGAGGAGGUCACCUUGCAUAUAUCUCUCUAGGUUGGGGGGCGGGGGGAGUGCUUUGUAGGGAAUGCUCAGGCUAAUUGUGAUUUCCCUCUUCUUUUUGUACAUGAACUCUACUCUUACAGGACAAAAUGCUUAGUGGUUGGAAGAAGGAAAAUGGCUUUUUCUCCUUCCCUAAAGAAGGAGGAGCAUACGGGGUCCUUAUGCCUUGUAAUAGGAUCCAGUAGCUAUGCAUUGUGGAAUCAGAGUUCAGCUUUUGCCCCUGGCAUUUUCCACUGGUGGGACCUAGGGUGUAAAUUACACUGAGCCUCAUUCCCUUACUCUGUUGAAUUGUUUUUGAGGAUUAAAUACAGUUGCUUUAAAAAGGUGAGUAUGAUGCGGUUUUAACCUGGAGUUAUAACCUAUGAGAUAUAAGAAGUCUAUGUACUGACUUGGGAGAGAUGUGCCAUGAAAAAAAAA